AUUAGAAAUGAUUUAUGUCCUCCAGUAGGUGGCGCUGGAGCUCAAGAAAUACUGACAUCUAAGAAUAGCUGCCUAAAAGAAGGGGGUGUUAGUAAGAGUCAACUGGUGUUUUGUUCACAGACAGGAGCUCAUCAUGCUGACAUUAAAACACAGAACAUGCUCCUCCCACUUCACUUUCCUCAUAAACCUCUGUGGGGUCAGUCAGGUUAUCUGAUGUCAAAUCCCAGCAGUUUAAAUCCAUAAAUAAAUGUUUCUUGCCAAAGAAACAACAUGAUGAUUCAUUUUCUCUUUUUCUGGUGCCUGACAGGUGUCUGUCUGGGAUUCGAGGUCCGUCAGUCUCCCUCUGAGUUCAUCACAAAUGUUGGAUCCAAAGUGCAGAUUUUCUGCAACCAUGAAAAGACUGACUACACAGUGAUGCUCUGGUACCAGCAGUCACCUGGAGAGACCGCUAUGAAACUCAUUGGGUUUUUAAACGUCAACACUCCAAAAUUUGAAGAUGAAAAUAAGGAUAAUUUUGAAAUCACUGGUGAUCUGAGUGCGAUUACAGCAAAAAACGGUUCUCUGAUAGUCAACAAAGCUAAAGGACACAGUGCAACGUACUAUUGUGCAGCAAGUAAAGCACAAUGACACAAAGUCCCUCUGAACUUUACAAAAACUCAAUAUUUUUUAUCCUUGUGGUUUGGAUGAGACAAGUUCUCAAACACCUGCUUGAGUGGUUGUUUUGUGGCUUAAUCCAGUCACAUUUAGUAAUAUG